GUUUUAUGUGGCUAUGUCAUUCCCAACUAAGCUGAAUAUACUUUAGAAUCAGAGCUUGGAUGUACUGUGUUAAAGGACUGGUACCUAUGGUUCCCGUUAUCCACAUCUGACAAAAAAAAAAUUCCUCUCUAGGCAUUUUCUGGGUCCCCCAGUGCAAACCAUGUGAAGUCAAGAAAC
rnacentral:lncRNA from 11 species